AACGAACGCUGGCGGCAUGCCUAACACAUGCAAGUCGAACGGGAUCCUAGAUUGCUAGGUGAGAGUGGCGGACGGGUGAGUAACACGUGGGAAUCUGCCUUUUGGUUCGGGAUAACCGCGGGAAACUGCGGCUAAUACCGAAUGCCCUCGAGAGAGGAAAGAUUUAUCGCCAGAAGAGGAGCCCGCGUCCGAUUAGGUAGUUGGUGGGGUAAAGGCCUACCAAGCCGACGAUCGGUAGCUGGUCUGAGAGGAUGAUCAGCCACACUGGGACUGAGAUACGGCCCAGACUCCUACGGGAGGCAGCAGUGGGAAUAUUGGACAAUGGGGCAACCCUGAUCCAGCAAUGCCGCGUGAGUGAUGAAGGCCUUAGGGUUGUAAAGCUCUUUUGCCAGGGAAGAUGAUGACUGUACCUGGAGAAUAAGCCCCGGCUAACUUCGUGCCAGCAGCCGCGGUAAU
rnacentral:rRNA from 1 species